UAGGGAAUUUUGCGCAAUGGGCGAAAGCCUGACGCAGCAACUCCGCGUGAGGGAUGAAGGUCUUCGGAUUGUAAACCUCUGUUGGGUGGGAAGAAUUGGAUGUGUGCUAAUAUCGCAUGUUCUUGACGGUACCACCUGAGGAAGCACCGGCUAACUACGUGCCAGCAGCCGCGGUAAUACGUAGGGUGCAAGCGUUGUUCGGAAUCACUGGGCGUAAAGGGAGCGUAGGCGGGAGUGUAAGUUAGGAGUGAAAUUUAUCGGCUCAACCGAUAACUUGCUUUUAAUACUGCAUUUCUUGAGUAUGGGAGAGGAUGAUAGAAUUCCAGGUGUAGCGGUGGAAUGCGUAGAUAUCUGGAAGAAUACCAGUUGCGAAGGCGGUCAUCUGGCCCAAUACUGACGCUGAGGCUCGAAAGCUAGGGGAGCAAACAGG
rnacentral:rRNA from 1 species